rnacentral:tRNA from 1 species
GGCGAAUAUAACUUAAUAGGUCAAAGUGUCAGAUUGUGAAUUUGAAAACACGGGUUCAACUCCCGUUAUUCGCCAC